rnacentral:rRNA from 1 species
GACAGAGGAGGCGAGCGUUAUCCGGAGUUAUUGGGCGUAAAGGGUACGUAGGCGGCUGGUCAAGUCUGGGGUUAAAGACCACAGCUUAACUGUGGAGGGGCCUUGGAAACUGACGGGCUGGAGUGGGGCAGGGGUUGCGGGAAUUCCCGGUGUAGCGGUGAAAUGCGUAGAUAUCGGGAAGAACACCUGAGGCGAAAGCGCGCAACUGGGCCAUAACUGACGCUGAGGUACGAAAGCUAGGGGAGCGAAUGGG